rnacentral:lncRNA from 1 species
GUGUACACAAACUACAUCGCUGACAGGUACUUUCCCUAACCCGCAGGCUGCUGACUGAUCCCAGGGUUGCAGUAUGCCCCGCACCAGCAUCAUCUCUCUUGGAAAUCCCCUUCAGCUACAAGAGAGACAGAUGGUCCAGGAGGUCUCAGA